UACAGGGGGUGCAACCGUUGCUCGGAAUCAUUGGGCGUAAAGCGCACGUAGGCGGUUUGUUAUGUCGGAUGUGAAAGCCCUUGGCUCAACUGAGGAAGUGCAUCCGAAACUGGCAAGCUAGAGUACUAAAGAGGGUCGCGGAAUUCCCGGUGUAGAGGUGAAAUUCGUAGAUAUCGGGAGGAACACCGGUGGCGAAGGCGGGUCUCUGGGCAGUAACUGACGCUGAGGAGCGAAAGCGUGGGGAGCGAACAGG
rnacentral:rRNA from 1 species